CAUUGACAUUCGAGAAAGAGGGCGCUGCUUUGCGCAUGUCAGUUGAAAACUUCCGGGUAGAAAAAAAGAAGACAGAAACGAAAAGUGGCUGAAAACUAAUCUAUAAUUUAACCUUAAAUAACUCCCUCACAGUAAAUGGCUCUUAAAAGAAUAAAUAAAGAAUUACAGGACUUGGGCAGGGACCCUCCAGCACAAUGUUCAGCAGGUCCUGUGGGAGAGGAUUUAUUUCACUGGCAAGCAACAAUAAUGGGCCCUGUAAGUACUUAUAGAUUUUAGAAACCCGAGAUGCAAGUGAAAAGUAAAUUUUGUUAUUAGAAUCAUUUAAAUGGACAAAUUAAUUGUUAUGACUGUCGUUGAAUAAUUAUAAGGCAGUUUA